rnacentral:tRNA from 1 species
GACCCCGUAGCUCAGCUGGAUAGAGCAGCGGUUUCCUAAACCGCGGGUCGGAGGUUCAAGUCCUCUCGGGGUCACCA